rnacentral:rRNA from 1 species
AUUGAACGCUGGCGGAAUGCUUUACACAUGCAAGUCGAACGGCAGCACGGGGGCUGGCCUGGUGGCGCGUGGCGCACGGGGGAGUAAAACAUCUGAACGCGCGUGCUCUUGGGGGGUAAAGUAGCGAGAAAGACGCUUUUAUCCCAUACGCGCUGUGUGUAAGAGCGGGGGAGACUUUGGCGCCGCGCGCUCUGAGGGUCCGAUGUCAGAUUUUGUGGUUGGUGGGGUAAAGGCCUACCAAGGCGACGAUCUCUAGCUGGUCUGAGAGGACGACCAGCCACACUGGGACUGAGACACGGCCCAGACUCCUACGGGAGGCAGCAGUGGGGAAUUUUGGACAAUGGGCGAAAGCCUGAUCCAGCCAUGCCGCGUGUGGGAAGAAGGCCUUCGGGUCGUAAACUGCUUUUGUACGGAACGAAAAGGCUCUGGCUAAUACCGGGGGGUCAUGACGGUACCGGAAGAAUAAGCACCGGCUAACUACGUG